GAUGAAGAACGUAGUGAAAUGCGAUAAGUAGUGUGAAUUGCAGAAUUCAGUGAAUCAUCGAAUCUUUGAACGCACAUUGCGCCCCUCGGUAUUCCGUGGGGCAUGCCUGUUCGAGCGUCAUCUACACCCUCAAGCUCUGCUUGGUGUUGGGCGUCUGUCCCGCCUCCGCGCGUGGACUCGCCCCAAAUUCAUUGGCAGCGGUCCUUGCCUCCUCUCGCGCAGCACAUUGCGCUUCUUGAGGGGCUCCGGUUCGCGUCCAACAAGCACAUUUACCGUCUUUGACCUCGGAUCAGGUAGGGAUACCCGCUGAACUUAAGCAUAUCAAUAAGCGGAGGA
rnacentral:misc_RNA from 1 species